rnacentral:rRNA from 1 species
GACGAACGCUGGCGGGCGUGCCUAACACAUGCAAGUCGAGCGGAGAACGACGAGCAGCUUGCUGCAAGUUGUUCUUAGCGGCGGACGGGUGAGUAACGCGUGGGCAAUCUGCCUCAAACAGGGGGAUAACACAGGGAAACUUGUGCUAAUACCGCAUAAAACCACAACAUGGCAUCAUGAAGUGGUCAAAGGAAGAAAUUCCGGUUUGAGAUGAGCCCGCGUCUGAUUAGCUAGUUGGUGAGGUAACGGCUCACCAAGGCGACGAUCAGUAGCCGAGCUGAGAGGUUGAUCGGCCACAUUGGGACUGAGACACGGCCCAGACUCCUACGGGAGGCAGCAGUGGGGAAUAUUGCACAAUGGGGGAAACCCUGAUGCAGCGACGCCGCGUGAAGGAAGAAGGCCUUCGGGUUGUAAACUUCUUUGACCAGGGACGAAAAAAUGACGGUACCUGGAGAACAAGCCACGGCUAACUACGUG